rnacentral:tRNA from 1 species
GUCGGCGUAGCUCAGCAGGUAGAGCGUCUGCCUUGUAAGCAGAGGGUCGCGGGUUCGAUUCCCGCCGCCGGCU